AAUAAAAGCCAAUCCUGACCGCAGCAAGGUCAACGAAGGCCUCCCGUCUCUCUCUCUCUCUCUCUCUCUCUCUCUCUCUCUCUCUCCUCUCCCUUUUUGCUCUCGGGGUGGGUUUGUUCCCUUCUCGUCCGAUCGAGCAACCAUGUCGUCGAAGCAAGGUGGAAAGGCGAAGCCUUUGAAGCAGCCAAAGGUCCAGAAGAAGGAAUACGAUGAGGAGGAUCUUGCAAAGCUUCAGAAAAAGAAAGAGGAAGAAAAGGCACUGAAGGAAUUGAAGGCCAAGGCAUCUCAGAAGGGAACAUUUGGAGGCACUGGUCUUAAGAAGAGCGGAAAGAAAUAAAUCCUCUGUUUCCUCAUGUAAUGCUUAUGUUAAACCAGCCAACAAUGCUCAAGCAACCAUCCGGGUCAACUCUAGUAGUUCCCAUAUUGUAGUUCUUAACUAUCAUCUCUUGAGAUAUGCAUGGAUUUGUCUGGCUAAUAUGAGUGGGGACUGUUGCUACAAUGGAACAAAUGGAAAAUCUACUACUGCAUUAAACUCUAAAGAUUGUUUUUUUUCUGAUAGAAUAUGGAACUGGAAA